UCAGGCCUGAGAUUGCCUGUGCUUUAAACGCAGGCCACAUACAGAUUAGAGAAAAACAACAAACAAACUCUCAGAAUCCAAGGGAGCAGCGGAAGGAGGAAAAGAACAACAAAGAGAAAGACAAAUGCAGAAUGCCCAAAGACAACAGAGAUGAAAGCCAUUGGUGGAAAGGUCAGCAAAUAUUUAUCAUGCUGUGGAUAUAGUCAAGGUGACUUCCACAAUAAGCCCAAGAGUUCAAGUCUACUUGAAUCAUGGACAUAUCUGCAAAAGGUGACAGCCUUGCUUCAAAGUUUCCUGGUCUUUUGGGGGAAGCAGCCAGAAUGGGGAAGACACUCUGACACUUCAGCCUCAAUGAGUCAACUACUUCAGUGCGUGUCACUUAUCUGGAAUUCUGAAGUGGCCUAC